AGCGCGCCCGGAGUGAUCCGGCUGCGGGCCAGGGUCUGGGAAGGGGGUGGUGGGUCGCCGUUUCAUCAGAAGCCCAAGGACGGGCACCAGAGGGCAACUUCCUACAGGAGAGCGUCCCGUUAGAAUGACAGGGCUUUUGCAAAAGUCUGACACCCGUGGCACAGAGCGCCCCAGAUAAGAAGGGUUUCACAGGCUCAUGUGUGCCUUCUUCAGUCAUCUCUUCAUUCACUCAUGUAUUCGUUUAUUCGACAACAUAUUACUAAGGAAACUCCUUAAGCCAGGGUGCUGAACGUGGAAAAAUAGGUGAAAUAUAAUUUUACCCCUGAGGAGCUCAUAGGCUAAAAAAUAUUGCUUUGGGAUAAAUGUAUGUUAAGUUGACUCUUGUACAAUGUGGGGGCUAGGGGCACCAACCCCCUGUGCAGUUGAAAAUUGACAUAUAAUUUUGACCCGCCAAAAACUUCACUACAAUAGCCUGCUGUCAACCUGAAGUCUUACCAAUAACAUCAACAGUCAAUUAAACAUAUUUUUAGGCUGAGAAGGAGAAGGAAAUGAAGGGGUUGGUCUUGCCGUCUCAUGAGUGGCAGAGGCAGGAGAAAAUCCAAAUGACAGGCAAAAGAAUGCCUUCUUCCACCCAAGCACUGAGCCAAACCACAGUAGAAGAAACAGAAUCAAAUGAGAGAGAUUCAACUGACCAGUUCAAGGCUUAUCAGAAAGGAACCAAGACAUACCAAAAUAGGCCAUUCUUGCACAAACACAGACACACAGGGACAAGGCACAAGUGCAUCUCUUACACCAGCACAGGUGCUAGCAAGAAACCCAUUCAUAUGAACACUUUAUGCAGAUUUUAAAGGGAAAACUCUUCUUUUAAACAUAAAGGAUUUUUAUCUUUGUAGUAUGCACAUUUAUUCACUCAUUGGUUUGAUGCAAUUUACGUGCCAGAUGCUUGGUCAGGGCUGAGGAUGUGGAGUGGACAAGCCAGGAUUGCUGCAGUGAUGUGCUCACCACUGGAGAGAGGAAUGACUGUCAACAAAUCACUACAGGCCCAUAUGUUAAGUUCUUUAAUAGUACGAUGACUGGAACUACUGGAGGAACCCAAAAUGCGGUCACCCAAACGUAUCAUGUCCAUUUUGAUCCCACAGCAAUUAAGCCUUGCUUUCACAGCUGCUGAAGCAGACCAACAGAUGGUUGUUUAAUUGUUUAUAAAACCAAACAUUAACUACUGGGCUUGGCAACAUACCUCUUCUCCUGAAGCCUCUCAAAGCAGAUAUCAGACAACAGUCUGGAAGAUGCUGAGAAACAUCAAAAGAGCAAAGGUCAAAUCUUGGAAUUCAGAUCUGUCAGUGACCCGCCUUGUAACUUCUGUCAAACUGCAAUAUGGUGAGAUUAUUCACGUUUCACAGCAGUGUUGCAUCGAAUGACUAAUGGCCUUCAGUUGGUUACUGUGUAGAUGGUAAAAUGGAAAGCUGUUCAAAAGACCCCUUUCUAGCAAAGAUGCGUCUCUGCCAAGUCACAUAUGUUGGCCAGAGGUCUGUUUAGGGAACUUGGCCCUCUUCAGAAAAAUACAGUCUCCUUGUUCCUGGCCACAUUUUAAUGUUGCCCUACCUUUUAGCUUAUAAAGCUUCAGGCUGUCUGUACAAAUGCUGUCCGUUUUAAUAGAGUGCUAAUUGCAGUAAUGGGCAGGGCACUUAUGUCUGUAAUCACCACAUCAACGCCACUUGGCUUAAUCCUUGAAAAUGGACAACAAGCUAUUACUAAGCCAUAAAAGUCGCAAAUUGUGUGUGCUGACCUAGAGACACCUCCAAUCAAUGAGAAGCAGCCUGAGAGCCACCAAAGGCUCUUCAAUGUCCAGCUGUCACCAACAUUCCCCAAGAACUUCAAAGAUUUUAAAGGCCACCAUUUCCACGCACAUGUCUCUUGGCAUUGCUGCUGUUUACACUACGUGGAAGCUGGACACUCAGCCUGUUUCGGGGGGACCCAGGCUAAAGGUUCUGCCCUAGGUGUGGUAAGUAUCUAUUGAUGCGUAGUGUGAACACAGCGUUUGUAGCUUCCCCAUCCUCUGCGUGGGGAAUGGAUAGCUCCGAUUGCAAUCUUCCUUCCCCAACAGCCUCUUCCUUAUCCUCCUGGGUUCAACUUCAACGUCACAUGCCCAGACUUUCAGGCUCCAGGACUUAUACCAGCACCCACUCUCCCUCCUGGUUCCCAGGCCUUCGGCCUUAGACUGGGAGUUAUAGGAUUGGCUCUCCUAGUAAAGGGUAAGAUAGAUAUAUUCUUUUAUAUAUAAUGUAUAACACAAUGGCUGUCUGUCUGCAUGGGUUCUGAAUAUUCUGAUUCAACCAACCAUGGAUCAAAAAUAUUCAAAAAAUAGAAAAAUGACAAUACAACAAUACAAAUAAUACAAAUUAAAAACACAGUAUAACAACCA